CCCGUAGGCGGCCGACUAAGUCGGAUGUGAAAUCCCCAGGCUCAACUUGGGAACUGCAUCCGAUACUGGACGGCUUGAAUCCGGGAGAGGGAUGCAGAAUUCCAGGUGUAGCGGUGAAAUGCGUAGAUAUCUGGAGGAAUACCGGUGGCGAAGGCGGCAUCCUGGACCGGCAUUGACGCUGAACGGCGAAAGCUAGGGGAGCAAACG
rnacentral:rRNA from 1 species